CUUAGUUCGUGGAGUGAUCUGUCUGCUUAAUUGCGUUUCAAAAUUUAACUUGAGGACCGGGUUUUGGUUUGGCUAGUGGUUCUACGAUGACUGUGAACUGUCAUGUCUUCGGAUGUGCGACUAUUGGUCUAGGAUCACAUGACUUGCCCCUGGGACUCUUUUGAACGCAACGGACGUGAUUGCAACCCCUUGUUGAGAUUAGAGAUAGUCUCGAUAUUCACUGGACAAACUGGCUGCUUUAUGCAGUCUUGUUGAAUGGUGGAUAAACUCGGGGGACUGCUGACUAUAACCAUUUCUCAAAACAGAGGAAGGUUGCGGCAAUAACAGGUCUGUGAUGCCCUCAGAUGUCCCGGGCUGCACACGUGCUACAAUGAGUGGCGCAAUGUGCUAAUGUUUAAGGGAUAAGAGUGUGGUCAGUAGAACGUCGGGAUUUCCCCUGACGUCUCCCCCGCACGAUUAUCAGCCUUCCCUUAACAGGGCGGGCAACCUUUUCAAAAUACUGGUUUGAUGUUAAAGUAUUGAGUCGUUUUUUUUGGAUGGUGGUUUGUUAACCAAUACCAUCCGGCAACUGCUCGCGAGUUUGUGGUUCUGGCGA
rnacentral:rRNA from 1 species